rnacentral:lncRNA from 1 species
AAUCUACAGGAGGAGGAGAAGAAUCAUCCACACCACUCUUCGCCACCCGGCUGGGAGCAAUUCCAGAAGGCAGGGUCUGCUUGGGCAGUUGAGAGGCCUUGGGUCAUGCCGCUUAUUGAAACCAUCAGCAGGAGGAGUUUGGAUAAAGCUGAAGUUCCACUUAGGCGCUCGGUGAUCCAUCUGGGAAGACAGUGGCCACAGCCCAACAGGAGGCCGGGGAACCUGGACCCCACCAGCCAAGCUUUGAGAAGCAGAUAGGCUUGAAUGAGCAUGGAAUGUAUCUAUUUAAAAAGCAGCUGGAAGUCUGUCAAGUGCAUUCUGGAAAUGGAUUCAGGCUAACAGAGUGUUCUGAAUAGAGACGCCUAAAACAAUUGUACUGCCUGAGUGUUGUCAGAUCAAGGCUUACAAACUCACGGGCGAUGCUGCAGAAUGAGUGACAACAGAUAAUGCCAAUUGCCCAGAUUGAAUCCAGCAAGAAAUGACAUUGGAAUGGCUCUACCUUGUGGAGGGAACUGUCCAGUGCAGAGGACCUGCCUGAGUAUUGCUUACAAUACAUCUUUCUGGUUAUAAUGAA